CUCUGACUGACUCUCCACGAUUUCUAACUGGAUGGCUGCUCCCUUCCUUAAACUCAGCCUGUCCAUAACAGAAUUUCUGGUCUUUCCUCCCUUUAGUGUUGCUACUCCCGUGUCUCACUCCCUCCAAGUCAACGGCGCCACCAUCACCUCUACCUCGCAGGCUCGCUGCCUAGGUGUUCUCUUUGACUUCAACCUCUCCUUCUCCCCUCAUGUCCAGUCGAUCGCCAAAUCCUGCUGCUCCAUCUCAUAAACAUAGCUCACACCUUAUUUAACACCAGGUGCGUCUAAGGUGCUG